UACGGGGGGAGCAAGCGUUGUUCGGAUUUACUGGGCGUAAAGGGCGCGUAGGCGGCCAGCACAAGUCAGUUGUGAAAUCUCCGGGCUUAACUCGGAAAGGUCAACUGAUACUGUGCGGCUAGAGUGCAGAAGGGGCAACUGGAAUUCUCGGUGUAGCGGUGAAAUGCGUAGAUAUCGGGAGGAACACCAGUGGCGAAGGCGGCUACCUGGCCCACUCUUGACGCUGAGGCGCGAAAGCUAGGGGAGCAAACGGG
rnacentral:rRNA from 1 species